UACGAAGGGUGCAAACGUUGCUCGGAAUUAUUGGGCGUAAAGCGCACGUAGGCGGCAUUGCAAGUCGGAUGUGAAAUCCCUCGGCUUAACCAAGGAAGUGCAUCCGAAACUGCAGUGCUUGAGUACUUGAAGAGGAUCGCGGAAUUCCCGGUGUAGAGGUGAAAUUCGUAGAUAUCGGGAGGAACACCAGUGGCGAAGGCGGCGUCUGGGAAGAUACUGACGCUGAGGCACGAAAGCGUGGGGAUCAACAGG
rnacentral:rRNA from 1 species